rnacentral:rRNA from 1 species
CACGUAGGGCGCAAGCGUUGUCCGGAAUCAUUGGGCGUAAAGAGCGCGUAGGCGGUCCGGUAAGUCCGCUCUGAAAGUCCGGGGCUCAACCCCGGGAGGCGGGCGGAUACUGUCGGGCUAGAGUCCGGAAGAGGCGAGUGGAAUUCCUGGUGUAGCGGUGAAAUGCGCAGAUAUCAGGAGGAACACCAAUGGCGAAGGCAGCUCGCUGGGACGGUACUGACGCUGAGGCGCGAAAGCGUGGGGAGCAAACAGG